CCCUUAGAUGUUCUGGGCCGCACGCGUGCUACACUGAGUGGAUCAGCGGGUCAGGUUGCGCGAAAGCGUUUCCUAAUCUUUAAAUCCGCUCGUGAUGGGGAUUGACGGUUGCAAUUUUCUGUCAUGAACGAGGAAUACCUUGUAAGCGCGGGUCAUCAUCCCGCGCUGAAUACGUCCCUGCCCUUUGUACACACCGCCCGUCGCUCCUACCGAUUGAGUGGUCCGGUGAGGCUUUGGGAUCUGAGCGGAAAGAGCGUUUCGCUGUUUCUGCCCGGAAAACUCAGUCGGACCUUAUCAUUUAGAGGAAGGAGAAGUCGUAACA
rnacentral:rRNA from 1 species